rnacentral:rRNA from 1 species
GAUUAACGCUGGCGGCGUGCAUAACACAUGCAAGUCGAACGAUGAAACUUAAAAGAUUUCUUCGGAAUGACCUUAAGUGGAUUAGUGGCGAACGGGUGAGUAACGCGUGAGUAACCUGCCUUACAUAAGGGGAUAGCCUCUGGAAACGGAGAAUAAUACCCUAUGAAACUAUCUUAUCGCAUGAAUAGAUAGUCAAAGUGUUUUAGCGGUGUAAGAUGGACUUGCGUCUGAUUAGCUAGUUGGUGAGAUAACAGCCCACCAAGGCAACGAUCAGUAGCCGGCUUGAGAGAGUGUACGGCCACAUUGGGACUGAGACACGGCCCAGACUCCUACGGGAGGCAGCAGUGGGGAAUUUUGCACAAUGGGGGCAACCCUGAUGCAGCGACGCCGCGUGAUUUAGAAGGCCUUCGGGUUGUAAAAAUCUUUUGUAUAGGAAGAAGAUGACAGUACUAUACGAAUAAGGUCCGGCUAAUUACGUGCCAGCAGCCGCGGUAAUACGUAAGGACCGAGCGUUGUCCGGAAUCAUUGGGCGUAAAGGGUACGUAGGCGGUUAGAAAAGUUAGAAGUGAAAGGCUAUAGCUCAACUAUAGUAAGCUUUUAAAACUGUUUAACUUGAGAGAUGGAAGGGAAAGUGGAAUUCCUAGUGUAGCGGUGAAAUGCGCAGAUAUUAGGAGGAAUACCGGUGGCGAAGGCGACUUUCUGGCCAUUAUCUGACGCUGAGGUACGAAAGCGUGGGUAGCAAACAGG